ensembl:snoRNA SNORD14 Small nucleolar RNA SNORD14
UUGCAAGAAACUGCCAAAGUUCCAGACAUUUGCAGUUUCCACCAGAAAGGCUUUUCCUUCUGUUAGCCAGUUCUUCCUUGGAUGUCUGAGUGA